GGGCGGUUAGCUCAGUUGGUUAGAGUACUUGCUUGACAUGCAAGGGGUCACUGGUUCAAAUCCAGUACCGCCCACAA
rnacentral:tRNA from 1 species